rnacentral:rRNA from 1 species
GAGUUUGAUUAUGGCUCAGGAUGAACGCUAGCGAUAGGCUUAACACAUGCAAGUCGAGGGGCAGCAGGGACUUCGGUCCGCUGGCGACCGGCGCACGGGUGCGUAACGCGUAUGCAACUUGCCCUGUAGAGGAGGAUAACCCGCUGAAAGGCGGACUAAUACUGCGUACUCUCAUCGGAUGGCAUCGUUUGAUGAGGAAAGAAAUUCGCUACAGGAUAGGCAUGCGUCCCAUUAGCUAGUUGGUGAGGUAACGGCUCACCAAGGCGACGAUGGGUAGGGGAACUGAGAGGUUUAUCCCCCACACUGGUACUGAGACACGGACCAGACUCCUACGGGAGGCAGCAGUGAGGAAUAUUGGUCAAUGGGCGAGAGCCUGAACCAGCCAAUUCGCGUGAAGGAUGACUGUCUUAUGGAUUGUAAACUUCUUUUAUAGGGGAAUAAUAAUUAGUACGUGUGCUAAGUU